AUAAUGGGUCAGCGACUUAUAUUCAGUGGCAAGGUUAACCGUAUAGGGGAGCCGUAGCGAAAGCGAGUCUUAACUGGGCGCUCAGUCUCUGGAUAUAGACCCGAAACCGGGUGAUCUAGCCAUGGGCAGGUUGAAGGUUGAGUAACAUCAACUGGAGGACCGAACCGACUAAUGUUGAAAAAUUAGCGGAUGACUUGUGGCUAGGGGUGAAAGGCCAAUCAAACUCGGAGAUAGCUGGUUCUCCCCGAAAGCUAUUUAGGUAGCGCCUCGGACGAAUACUACUGGGGGUAGAGCACUGUUAAGGCUAGGGGGUCAUCCCGACUUACCAACCCUUUGCAAACUCCGAAUACCAGUAAGUACUAUCCGGGAGACACACGGCGGGUGCUAACGUCCGUCGUGGAGAGGGAAACAACCCAGACCGCCAGCUAAGGUCCCAAAGUAUUGCUAAGUGGGAAACGAUGUGGGAAGGCUCAGACAGCUAGGAUGUUGGCUUAGAAGCAGCCAUCAUUUAAAGAAAGCGUAAUAGCUCACUAGUCGAGUCGGCCUGCGCGGAAGAUGUAACGGGGCUAAGCA
rnacentral:rRNA from 1 species